UAAUAUUUUUAGAUGCAAAGAGUGGAGUUGACCUUGAGGUGGAAGAGAGAAGGUUAGCACUAUUGAGGAUGUGCACAGAAGUGAAUCGUGCUGGCCUCCACAGUUCAACGACGGCCUGGAGGGGAAUCAGUGAGAGGGCUGCACACAUUUGGAGCAUUUCCACCCUGACACAGUGCCUGGCUUCUACCUUGGCUGGUGCUGGCUACAACAACCUUUUCUGACCCUGUAAUGAGAUGUGGGUUCCUGGGUGUCAGGCAGGUGGAAAUGUACCCUAGCCUCUGGAGCAGGUGCCCAGCACAGCAAUACAGUGGGAAGCCCAGCCAGAUAUGGCUUAGGAGGGGCAUAGUGUGGUGUUUGUCCAGUCACUGAAACCAGAAGUCGUUGCCUAAAUAUACUGCCGAGAACUAUCUCUGAAGUCUGUUUGAGAACUAUGGAAGGCGGGAAAGUUAAGCUAUGUCUUUUCAAAUCCAACUCAAAGGGCACAAAGAGCUGCUUAGCCUCCUUGCCCAUGUGACAGCCCACUCUCCCUUUUUUCACAGACCCACGCAGGGGCCUCCGGGUCAAAGGCUGAAAAGAUAGUCUCAGUAAUACUUCAUCAAAUACUUUCUAGCCUUGUAGCGAAUUUUUCUUUGUGAAAUCUUGGAGGGUGGCUUGGAAUAUCUCCCAGA